CUAGGCUCGUUGGAGAGGGACCAGUCUCUGCUCCCUACAACCUCUCUGCUGCAGAGGGCCCGCGGGAGUUCGCUCCGCUGGGCCCAGUAGAGAGGGUCUGGGUGGGCGGAGGUGCACGUGCCUCUCCCCCAGAGCCCACGGGAGUCUGGUAAACAAACCAAAAACUAUCUGAAAUUCUCCAAUCUGCCCAACUCCCUUCAAAAAAGUCAGGGAGCGCAUCCUCUCUGACAGUUUCUCAGAAGAGGAUGGUGAUGACGACGAUGAUGGUGGGGUUGUUCCAGAGAAACUUUUGAAGGAGGCAAAAGAAAAACAACAUCUCUACAAAAAGAAAUCAAAGGAAACGUCCCUGCAGGAAACAAGAACACAGUGAGAGUUUAUUUUUUUCCAUUUUUUAUUUAACUUAAAUUUGAUUUAAAACAGACUCAUUGACAUAUGCAUCCACUUAUCUAUGAGUGCUCAUUACUUAAUUUGCUAUAUUCUAGAUGGCAUAAGUACCACGUACAACCCAGAUUUGGUCUUUAAUGAUUUACAAAUAUUGAUGAACUCUGUGCAGGUGCACUGCUAGCUGUGGUGUCUAUAAAUAGCCAGAUAGCUUCACUUAAUAUAUUUGAUUCAAUAUUUCUAAUAUUUCUAAUAAUGUAGUUAGUCAUUACAUAUUUCCUUCUGUUAAGAGGAUCAGAAGAACAGAAGAGCAGCAGUUGAGGCUGAAAACAAAACACUCCGUGCUCUCAAUAUUGAGUUUACAGCAACAGCUGCUGAAGAAGUUGAGCAGCACAUCAAGCCCACACUUGAUAAUUAGGUUCAGUCAUAAAAAAUAACUAAGUAUGCCCAUAUUUACUAAACUGGUUUUAGUGAAAUUGUAGAAGUAUAGUUCCUAAUGAAAGUGGGUAAAAGUAGGCAAGGAACUGCAACUGUGUUUACCUUAUGCUCUAUGUAGUUUCAGAAACUGGAUGUGAGACUGGAGAGGAGCGAUCUGUACCCAAGGAAACAUAUAGUAUAUAGAAGUAAACAAGACCUCUGUAUUCCGUGGUUAAUAUAAUAACUAUCUUUCAAGGAUUUCUUACAAUCUAAUGUUUUGAUUGUUUAUGUUUUGGAUUUUUUUCAGAUUACCUGGAAGGAGACAUUAGCAUCAGGAAAGAGGCCUUGGUCCGAAUUAUCAGGAACAACCACGACUCCUUAUUUGUCAAGGAAUUGGCAGUGGCAAUCUGGAGCACUAAAGCGCUGGGGGGGGAAAGCCUUACAGGGAAGGAGUGCCCCACCACCAAAUCCACCCGCCAGCCUUUAACCCCAAAGAAGCUGCAAACACUGAAAGUCUGCUUCAAGGAGUGGCUCCAGGAAAAAAAACUGGAGGAUACGGAGUUGCAGGCCAGAUGGGCAAAUGCUGGACGUUAUAUAACUGAAGAAAUCAUGGUCAUAAACUAACAAAAACAAAAAAUCAGUUAAUUAAUGAGUGAUUGAAAUGUUUAAUGUUUUGAUGUUGAUGUUUUAAUAGUUAAUUCUAAAUAGUUAUGUAAAUAGUUAAUUUGGUUGUUUCUCUUUUGUAAAGUGUUCCAUGUUCUUUAUUAUGUGUCUGUCAUAUUUAAUAAAUGGAAAUACUGUUUUGAAAACCUGACCAAUCAAC